rnacentral:lncRNA from 1 species
UGAUUUUGCAAUCCUAUAACUAGUACUUAUUACUUCAGAUCAUUCUAACAUGACUCAUAGAUUAAGUCCUUGCCACUCACUCAACUUUUGGCAAGCAUGAACAUCACCUCCCCAAAAUCUACAGAAAUGUUUAUACAUGCUAUGUUAACUGUGGGCUCUUCUGAGGAUUGACUGGAAAUUCAAUAAUAUAUGCGUUUUUUUUUAGCUUGGAUUCCUAUAAAUUAAAGCAAAAAUAGAAAUUGUAUUUAUAGAAUAAAUGAGAGUUUACUGUAAGAAAUAUGACAACAAAAAAAUAUUUUUGUCAUGUUUCUCAGUUUAACAAAAUACUGUUAACAAAUGUGCCAAUGUUUCUCUGGGCAGCUUAUAUUUUAUCUGAAAGUUGUCAUGUAACUAAGUAAUCAAAGAAAAUGUGUCUUUGCUUAGCUCAGACUUUAGAGUUGGAAGGGGCCUUAAAAAUUAAUUGCAUAAACUUUUUUAUUGACAAGAAUGCCCAGAGCUUGAACAGAGAAGUAAGUUAGCUAAGAAUGGUUUAAUCUUUUCUGAAUUCAUACAGAGGCCCCCAGGAGCUUCUUUCUCUCUGCCCUCCUUGCUAUGCUCCUCUGAAACUUCAAGGAGGCUAACUGAGAUUGGCCAGGCCAGGAAAAGUUACUGCCAGGAACGUUGGAGAUCUUCAGCGACCAGAAGAAAGAAAGAAAUUAUUGAGCACUGUUCGCAAUGGCCAAGAUUUGGAGGCAACCUAAGUGUCCAUCGACAGACAAAUGGUUAAAGAAAAUGAGGGAGGAGGAAAAAACCAUGGCUGCGGAGGUGAUUUAAUAUCCUGUUGACUCUGAAGAAAAAUACACUUCUUCAUUAUAAGAGUUUUAUUGCCAAUGACUAGAAGGAAAUGUAAAGGGGACAACACAAGAUGACUAACACAGGAAGUUAUAAAACUCACAGCUCUAACUGUCAUGGCCCUGGGCCCAUGGUGCCUGAAUCCCUCUGGGAGUAUUAAAUGGAAGGCCCCCUGGUACCUGAAUUUUGUUUUAGUUUUCUCUCUCCAUCUCUGUGAUUACACAUAAAAUCAGCCAAGCACCUGCUCCCCUCCAGCCUAGAUAACACAUACCUCCAUGCUAUAAAGGGACAAUUUGACCAAGAGACACCCACCUCACCUGACCACAGAGCUGGAAAAUCUACUAUGUCAGACUUCCAUGCAACCGCUGGUGGGAGAAAGUUUUCACGAGUCUCUCUGGGCCCUUAUCCCUCUCCCCUGUAUUCCCAUCCUUAUCCAAAUCCACAUUUCACCAAACUCCCUAACGCUAAGCAGCUGUUGAAGUUCAGAUCACAGUCUCUGAGGAGCUCCUGGUUUCCCAUGGAAUGUGAUUUGCCUCAUCAUCUUACAGCCUGCCUCCACUUUGCUUUCUUAUCAUUUCAGAGGCUUGGGAUGCCUGUGUGCACAAUAAAUCAAUGGCAU